GGCUGCAACUCGCCUAUAUGAAGUUGGAAUUGCUAGUAAUCGCGGAUCAGCAUGCCGCGGUGAAUACGUUCCCGGGCCUUGUACACACCGCCCGUCACACCAUGGGAGUCGGUAACACCCGAAGCCUGUAGUCUAACCGCAAGGAGGACGCAGUCGAAGGUGGGAUUGAUGACUGGGGUGAAGUCGUAACAAGGUAGC
rnacentral:rRNA from 1 species